AGACCAAACCACGCACACAACUGCUCUCUCUUUCUUCCUCAUUUCUUGUUAUUCCACAACCCUCCUCCCUCUUGAUUUAAAACACAUACCAAAAAAAAAAUGCAACAUAUACUACUCUGCUCCCUCCCUCACUCUCGAUUACAUUCGCAGACAACACACCAUCCCCUGCCUCCCCCCUUCUGAUCGACAAGACGUACGACCACCACCACCGUCCGGUGGUGGUGCGGCGAAGGAGAUAAGAAGAUAGAGGGGAGAGAGAGAGGAGAAAUCAGGAGGAAGCGGCGGAGUAGGUGGCAGAACCGCCGUGUGCGGUGGCAUGGCGUCGGGAAGACUCGGUCCGACGACGUCCUCCUCCGGUAACCUUUCAACUCUCUUCCAUUUUCAGUUAAAUUUUGCAAGACCAUCCAUUCUCCGGCCGUUUGGGUUCGUGACAGGUUGUCGGUUCGGGUUUCGGGACUGGCCGACGGCAGUGGUGGUGCCGACAGUGGUGACGCCGACCGUGGAUGCCUCGAGUUAUGUUCAGUUCGAGUUUUGGUUCAGGUUCACUCCGGUCAGACUUGGGUUCAUUUUACUCGGUUUGGUUCGGGUCCCGCUUCGAUUCGUGUUUCAAGUUUCGGUCAGUUGUCUUGGUUUGAGUCUCGGUUCAGCCGGAGCCGUACGAAGGAUCGACCGGAGAUAUUACUCAUCUUGUUCGGUCUCGCCGAAGUAAACUGCAAUCACCGGAGCUUGAGUACGUCACCGGAACUUUGCCAAACAACCCGAAGCGAAGCGGAGUUUACGACGGAACUCGAAUCCACAUCGUUUCGGUUAAUCGAUGUCAUUCUCUUGGAUUCCUCAAAUCUUUACCCGUGCGUAUUUGAAGAAAUCGCAAACGCAACCAACGUUGAUGAUGAUGAAAUGAAAACGGAUAGCAAAGAUGCCUAAAUACUCACUUAGACGUUUAGGUUUAAAGUGUUGUAUCAAUUUUGUUUAUGUUAUGUUGAACAAUGUUGUUAUUUGCUUUUCUUGUAAUGUUUUGACAUUUAUUUUGGAAAUGAAAUUUGGAUUAUUAAAUUAUUGUCACAAA